UACGAAGGGGGCUAGCGUUGUUCGGAUUUACUGGGCGUAAAGCGCACGUAGGCGGAUCGAUCAGUCAGGGGUGAAAUCCCAGAGCUCAACUCUGGAACUGCCUUUGAUACUGUCGAUCUGGAGUAUGGAAGAGGUGAGUGGAAUUCCGAGUGUAGAGGUGAAAUUCGUAGAUAUUAGGAAGAACACCAGUGGCGAAGGCGGCUCACUGGUCCGGUACUGACGCUGAGGUGCGAAAGCGUGGGGAGCAAACAGG
rnacentral:rRNA from 1 species